CUAAAAUGCAUCCAAACAUUCUGUAUCUCAUCCCUCUGCAUGCAGACACUGAACUUUCCUCAUAGAGAUUCACUGAUUCAAUUCAUCUCUAUGAGGAGAUGCUGAUUGGCAAGGGCUGUGUUUGAAUUGUGCUGGUUCUGCCCCUGAUCUGCCUCUUUGUCAGUCUCAGCCAAUCCUAUGGGGAAGCACUGUGAUUGGAUCAGGCUACCACUUCUG